rnacentral:tRNA from 1 species
GCGUUUAGCUCAGCUGGUUCAGAGCAUCUGCCUUACAAGCAGAGGGUCGGCGGUUCGAAUCCGAAAAGGGCGUU